rnacentral:rRNA from 1 species
CGUGGGCGCUGGAGAACUGAGGGGGGCUGCUCCUAGUACGAGAGGACCGGAGUGGACGCAUCACUGGUGUUCGGGUUGUCAUGCCAAUGGCACUGCCCGGUAGCUAAAUGCGGAAGAGAUAAGUGCUGAAAGCAUCUAAGCACGAAACUUGCCCCGAGAUGAGUUCUCCCUGACCCUUUAAGGGUCCUGAAGGAACGUUGAAGACGACGACGUUGAUAGGCCGGGUGUGUAAGCGCAGCGAUGCGUUGAGCUAACCGGUACUAAUGAACCGUGAGGCUUAACCUUACAACACCGAAGGUGUUU